rnacentral:rRNA from 1 species
UGGGGAAUAUUGCACAAUGGGCGCAAGCCUGAUGCAGCCAUGCCGCGUGUAUGAAGAAGGCCUUCGGGUUGUAAAGUACUUUCAGUCGGGAGGAAGGUGGUAAGGUUAAUAACCUUAUCAAUUGACGUUACCGACAGAAGAAGCACCGGCUAACUCUGUGCCAGCAGCCGCGGUAAUACGGAGGGUGCAAGCGUUAAUCGGAAUUACUGGGCGUAAAGCGCACGCAGGCGGUCUGUCAAGUCGGAUGUGAAAUCCCCGGGCUCAACCUGGGAACUGCAUUCGAAACUGGCAGGCUAGAGUCUUGUAGAGGGCGGUAGAAUUCCAGGUGUAGCGGUGAAAUGCGUAGAGAUCUGGAGGAAUACCGGUGGCGAAGGCGGCCCCCUGGACAAAGACUGACGCUCAGGUGCGAAAGCGUGGGGAGCAAACAGG